GGCGUCGAUAGUGCAGCGGGUUAGAGCACGCGCCUUCGGAAAAGGGUGAAGUGCGGGUUCGAGUCCCGGCUGAAGUCA